GCGGAAGUCGUCAAUUUACAUCCGGUGAUGUGCGCGUUUACCGAUUCAUUCAUCGUCUCAAACCCAGGGCAAAACUAACACCGCGGCAAAACGUAUGCGCAUGCGUCAACUUCAGUAUUUCCGGUUUGCAUGUGUUGCUCGGUGGCUCAGAUUAAUUUUGUCGUUGGCCUUGCUGUGUUUAAGCUUGUUGUUGUGAAUCAGCAGCUACAGAUGGAAGAAGAAAGGACCACAAAUACAGAAAAGAAUUUCAUGAUUACGACAGCAGCAAGAUUGCCUUCUUUGUUGAGCCAUUCUAAAUAAAAUGCCAGAGAACUUUGAGGUACCAUUUAAUUAACAUUCAGGGUGGAUAGGUCAAAGGAGUCUUCAAGUUGUACAUUGCCAGUAAUAAGAGGCAGAACACCAUUACAAAACUGUGUAGUAACUCAAUCAUUUGAAACAAUAAAUUUAUUAAUAUUUAAAAUUA